GUGGGGAAUAUUGGACAAUGGGGGGAACCCUGAUCCAGCCAUGCCGCGUGUGUGAAGAAGGCCUUUUGGUUGUAAAGCACUUUAAGCGAGGAGGAGGCUACCGAGAUUAAUACUCUUGGAUAGUGGACGUUACUCGCAGAAUAAGCACCGGCUAACUCUGUGCCAGCAGCCGCGGUAAUACAGAGGGUGCAAGCGUUAAUCGGAUUUACUGGGCGUAAAGCGCGCGUAGGUGGCCAAUUAAGUCAAAUGUGAAAUCCCCGAGCUUAACUUGGGAAUUGCAUUAGAUACUGGUUGGCUAGAGUAUGGGAGAGGAUGGUAGAAUUCCAGGUGUAGCGGUGAAAUGCGUAGAUAUCUGGAGGAAUACCGAUGGCGAAGGCAGCCAUCUGGCCUAAUACUGACACUGAGGUGCGAAAGCAUGGGGAGCAAACAGGAUUAGAUACCCCAGUAGUCC
rnacentral:rRNA from 1 species